rnacentral:rRNA from 1 species
GUGGGGAAUCUUGCGCAAUGGGCGAAAGCCUGACGCAGCCAUGCCGCGUGAAUGAUGAAGGUCUUAGGAUUGUAAAAUUCUUUCACCGGGGACGAUAAUGACGGUACCCGGAGAAGAAGCUCCGGCUAACUUCGUGCCAGCAGCCGCGGUAAUACGAAGGGGGCUAGCGUUGCUCGGAAUUACUGGGCGUAAAGGGCGCGUAGGCGGACAGCUUAGUCAGAGGUGAAAGCCCAGGGCUCAACCUUGGAAUUGCCUUUGAUACUGGCUGUCUUGAGUUUGGGAGAGGUGUGUGGAACUCCGAGUGUAGAGGUGAAAUUCGUAGAUAUUCGGAAGAACACCAGUGGCGAAGGCGACACACUGGCUCAUUACUGACGCUGAGGCGCGAAAGCGUGGGGAGCAAACAGGAUUAGAAACCCUGGUAGUCC